GCGCGGUGGUCCCACCUGACCCCAUGCCGAACUCAGAAGUGAAACGCCGUAGCGCCGAUGGUAGUGUGGGGUCUCCCCAUGCGAGAGUAGGGAACUGCCAGGU
rnacentral:rRNA from 2 species